GUGUCAGCAGCCGCGGUAAUACGUAUGGGGCAAGCGUUAUCCGGAUUCAUUGGGCGUAAAGAGCGCGUAGGUGGCUUGUUAAGCGAGAUGUGAAAACCGGGGGCUCAACCCGCGGCCUGCAUCUCGAACUGGCAGGCUUGAGUCUGGUAGAGGAGUGUGGAAUUCCUAGUGUAGCGGUGAAAUGCGCAGAUAUUAGGAGGAACACCAGUGGCGAAGGCGGCACUCUGGGCCACGACUGACACUGAGGCGCGAAAGCUAGGGGAGCAAACAGGAUUAGAAACCCUUGUAGUCC
rnacentral:rRNA from 1 species